rnacentral:lncRNA from 1 species
AGGGAACUUGUCAGAUUCAAGGCCUCCGUCAACAUCACACAAACACUAAGGGAUGGAACCAGUUCUCACAUCCAGACCUUCUGAUUCGUCUAUGCUGCUCUGCUGGAGGAGAGGCUGUAGGGUGGUCCCCAGAGAGACGGAAAUGCCAGUAGGGAGGAGUUUGAUGCCAGGUGACUACACUGUCUGGAAUUCUGGAGAGAGUUCUGAGGUCCUGUAAAAACUGAGCCCAGAGGGCUAAACCAAGCUUGGACCACUGCUCUUAGACACUUAGGACUUAUGAGGACAUUUCCCCAGGGCUUUCUGGAUAGCUGACAUUCAAAGAGUUUAUAAUCUAGAAGCAUCCUUGACCUUGAAAAUUAUUUAUCAACUGUAUAACGAUCUCCCUAGGUAUUACGUUUUCCUGAGCCGGCCCUAAACACCAGGAAGCACUCUGAUGCGAUGUAAUCGCAGUCAAACCUUUCCUCCUCCAACAAAUUCACCCUUCCUCCCCAAGUCCUGAUGAAACUCCCGACCUGCCUUGAGGUCCUCUGCAAAGAGCUUGUUUUCUCUCAUUCUGCCUGGAAGAAUUAUUCUAAUUCACCACAGAAGUAUACUGCUUUUCAAAUAUCCAUUGUUCAUUCUUGCAAUAUUUGUCCAGCUAGUUUGCAACAGAAAGCUGCCUUAAGCCCUGAGGGUUGUGGAGUGAAACUGCAGGAAUUCCACUGGUAUUGUCUCAAUGCAGAACUUGAAAUUCAGCUCCAGGAGUGUGGGUGGAGGACAGCAAGCAUUGUUUGCUAAACCCCAUGCUCUUCAGACUGCUGGCUUGUACUGCCCUGCUCUGUGUGACUUCCCCAUGGGCGGAUCCCUGGGUGAGGACUGUCCUUUUGUUAUGAGAAUAUCCCCUUUGGGGAGGACAGAAAGUUUUCCCUUCUUUUCUCUUCCUGGUUCUUUGCUUUUGGGUUUUUUUUUUGUAUAUGUAACUUCUUGCAUAUAUACUUUGAGGAUACCCUUGUUCCCAUACACAAAACCCCUUCUAAAGAUGACAUAGUUAGAUAACAGGAUGCCUCCUGAACCAGGUCCAUGACCAGCACAAAACCAAAACAAGAGCGGCAUUCACUGGUGAAACAGUGCACCAGCGAAACCUGGAAUCCAAGUUUCACUUGCUCUGAGCUACCCAGAAAAAUUCCUGCAAGGAAACAAAACAAAUGAAACACGGUGGGACCUUCCUUCCUUUUAACUAGGUCCACGGCCAUGGUGCUAGACGACCCCUUAUUUUAAAUGGCUCUAUUUCUAGUAUUUCCAUUAAUUCAAGGAUAAUAAUCUACUAGGAAUUAAAAGACUGGAAUUUUAAAAAAUUGCUUAAAGGAUAAUUCCUGUUCUCAUUUCACUUUACUUAAUCCGAGAUGCAGAUGCCAGAGACAGUGACUGUUAGCUUCAAUUAACACUUCAGCAUCACCUAAAACAGGAAGGAACAUUAAGGCAGCAGCAGUGUAUUCAUAAAACCGAAUUAUUACUUGAUUUGAAGUGAUAGUAUGAAUUCAGAUGGUGGUGGCAUAAAGCAUAUUCAACUUUUUAGAUUAUUCAGUGUAUUCUUUACAAUGGCUAGGAGACUGUUACUAGAGCUGAGGGAAUGGGGGAGUAGCUUUGGAGUCAGACAGCUCUCAGGGUACAUAAUCCUGCCAUUGGUGUGUCCCUGAUGAAAACGUGGACCGGUUCCGUGUGCUUGAUGAAAGCUUUUCUGAGACUCAGUUUCUUCAUCCAUAAAGCAGGUGUAAUAAUCCUAAUAACUACUUCAUAUGAUUGUCAUGAGAAUUAAGUUUUUUAAAAUGUGUGAUUACUGUUCUUGGUAAAAUGCAGGACAAAUAGUAUGUUUUCAAUAAAUGACACCAUUACCGAGAAUUAAGUUCCUCUUCAAAUAUUUUUAAAAUUUUAUUUCAUUUUUUUAUUGACGUGUAGUUGAUUUACAGUGUUGUGGUAGUUUCAGGUGCACAGCAAUGUGAUUCAGUUAUAUAUGUAUCAGUUAAAAUAUAUAUUCUUUUUCAGAUUCUUGUCUUUUAUAGGUUAUUACAAAAUAUUGAGUAUAGCUCCCUGUGCUAUACAGUAGGUCCUGUUGGUUAUCGAUUUUAUAAAGAUAUUUUGUUAAUCCCAAACUCCUUAUUUAUCCUCCCCCACCCCCAGUAACCAUAAGUUUGCUUUGUAUGGUUGUGGGUCCAUUUAUGUUUUGUAUAUGCAUUCAUUUGUAUUAUUUUUUUAGAUUCCAUGUAAAUGAUAGCAUAUGAUACUUAACUUUCUCUCUCUGACUCCAUUUAGAAUGAUAAUCUCCAGAUCCAAAUGGCAUUGUUUCAUUCUUUCGUAUGGCUGAAUAGUAUCUCAUUGUAUAUAUGUACUGUAUCUUUAUCCAUUCCUCUGUGGAUAGACAUUGAAGUUGCUCUCAUGUCUUGGCUAUUGUAAAUAAUGCUACAAUGAACAUUGGGGUGCAAGUUCCUCUUUAAAUAUUACAUAAAUUGUUCAAUAAUCAAAGCCAUUCUCCCUAGCCUCUUCCAUCCUUUCAGUAGGUUGGUUUAUAUUUCCAUCUUAAGUAAAUAGCAUCCUGCAGUGGUGUGGAACUUCCCAGGACUGUGAAGACUGUGUGGUUAGGGACCUCAUUUGGCAACCAAUAACAAAGUUUUUUGGAAAAAACAUACAACUAAUAUUCAAAAAAAGACUCAGUUUAAAAUCACUUACACAGCAUUUUAUUUGUCUUCAAAAAAUAAUCUUAACAUAAAUAAUCAACUUUGCUUGUCAUCUAAUUUUUAGGCCAUCCAUGAAGUCUGUAAAAACAGAUCUUCAAAAUCACAUCAUUUUCCCCUGUAUUUAUUGCCAUCGUAAAGCAGAGUCCUUUUCUGGCAGGAUGGAGUUUCUGCUUCUACCCAUUGGAUCUUUUCCCGAGUGAGAAGUACGACUAUGUGUGGAUUGGAGUCAUUUAUCAGUUCUUCUUGGGAAGAAAGUUUAGGUCAGUGGUUAUAAACCAGAAGGACCUGAUUUCCUAAGGUCUUCCUUGGAAGAAGGGAAACUUUGGACCAGUUACUUAAUUUCUCUAAACCGAUAACCUUCCCUUUAAGAUGGGAUGAUGCUGCAUCUCUGUAUGUAAAGCAUUUUGAAUAGCACCCAGCACAGGAUAAACACGCUAUAAAUGUUGCCUAUUAUCACUGGUCUAUUUGAACCAGAUUUCCUGGCACAGAGUAUAUACCUUAAUUUUAGGACCACCCGAGAUCUGUAUUAGUUGCUUGGAAACAGAGUAGUGACCCUCUUGGUUCAUUUUACAACACAGUCCCAGUUCUUUU